rnacentral:rRNA from 1 species
AGCGUAGACGGUGUGGCAAGUCUGAUGUGAAAGGUACCGGCUCAACCGGUGACGUGCAUUUGAAACUGUCAGACUUGAGUAUUGGAGAGGCAAGUGGAAUUCCUAGUGUAGCGGUGAAAUGCGUAGAUAUUAGGAGGAACACCAGUGGCGAAGGCGGCUUGCUGGACAAAUACUGACGCUGAGGUGCGAAAGCGUGGGGAGCGAACA